rnacentral:misc_RNA from 1 species
UCGUAACAAAAGAGGUGCGAGGGCUGUCGCUGACCCUCAAAGGUCGUGCACGCCCGAGUGCUUCCACACAAUCCAUCUCACCCCUUUGUGCAUCACCGCGUGGGUCCCUCCUUUGCGGGAAGGGCCUGCGUUUUUAUCAUAAAACUCGACGCAGUGUAGAAUGUUUAUUUUUGCGGUCACACGCAAUCAAUA